AGAGUUUGAUCCUGGCUCAGGAUGAACGCUGGCGGCGUGCUUAACACAUGCAAGUCGAACGAAGCAUUUUAAAAUGAGACUUCGGUGGAUUUUUAAAAUGACUGAGUGGCGGACGGGUGAGUAACGCGUGGGCAACCUGCCUUACACAGGGGGACAACAGUUAGAAAUAGCUGCUAAUACCGCAUAAGCGCACAGUACCGCAUGGUACAGUGUGAAAAACUCCGGUGGUGUAAGAUGGGCCCGCGUUGGAUUAGCUAGUUGGAGGGGUAACGGCCCACCAAGGCGACGAUCCAUAGCCGACCUGAGAGGGUGACCGGCCACAUUGGGACUGAGACACGGCCCAAACUCCUACGGGAGGCAGCAGUGGGGAAUAUUGCACAAUGGGCGAAAGCCUGAUGCAGCGACGCCGCGUGAGCGAAGAAGUAUUUCGGUAUGUAAAGCUCUAUCAGCAGGGAAGAAAAUGACGGUACCUGACUAAGAAGCCCCGGCUAACUACGUGCCAGCAGCCGCGGUAAUACGUAGGGGGCAAGCGUUAUCCGGAUUUACUGGGUGUAAAGGGAGCGUAGACGGUGUGGCAAGUCUGAUGUGAAAGGCAUGGGCUCAACCUGUGGACUGCAUUGGAAACUGUCAUACUUGAGUGCCGGAGGGGUAAGCGGAAUUCCUAGUGUAGCGGUGAAAUGCGUAGAUAUUAGGAGGAACACCAGUGGCGAAGGCGGCCUACUGGGCUGUAACUGACGCUGAGGCUCGAAAGCGUGGGUAGCAAACAGGAUUAGAUACCCUGGUAGUCCACGCCGUAAACGAUGAUUACUAGGUGUGGGGGGACUGACCCCUUCCGUGCCGGAGUUAACACAAUAAGUAAUCCACCUGGGGAGUACGGCCGCAAGGCUGAAACUCAAAGGAAUUGACGGGGGCCCGCACAAGCAGUGGAGUAUGUGGUUUAAUUCGAAGCAACGCGAAGAACCUUACCAGGUCUUGACAUCGAGUGACGAACUUAGAGAUAAGUUCUUCCUUCGGAACACGAAGACAGGUGGUGCAUGGUUGUCGUCAGCUCGUGUCGUGAGAUGUUGGGUUAAGUCCCGCAACGAGCGCAACCCUUAUCAUUAGUUGCUACGCAAGAGCACUCUAAUGAGACUGCCGUUGAUAAAACGGAGGAAGGUGGGGAUGACGUCAAAUCAUCAUGCCCCUUAUGACCUGGGCUACACACGUACUACAAUGGUGAUUAAACAGAGGGAAGCAACACAGCGAUGUGAAGCAGAACCCGAAAAAUCAUCUCAGUUCAGAUUGCAGGCUGCAACUCGCCUGCAUGAAGUCGGAAUUGCUAGUAAUCGCGGAUCAGCAUGCCGCGGUGAAUACGUUCCCGGGCCUUGCACACACCGCCCGUCA
rnacentral:rRNA from 1 species